rnacentral:lncRNA from 15 species
CAGAGGAGUCAAUGAGAGGACUUUCAACAAGUACCUUUGCAAAGAUAAAUUAGGUAACAUCUCUUCAGUUUAAUUUUAAAGCAAUGGAAAAAAGUAAAACACAAGGAAUGCUAACUUAAUAUUAGCUGUAUAGUGAGCAGCAAAUUAAGAUUUCAGACACAAGAAAUUAUCAUCAUUUAGUGUCAGGACAGACAGAUGUAGUGUAGCAACUGUAAUUUACACGUCUUUCAUUUCAACUUUAAAGUUUAAUUUGAUUUUAUACAGCACAGCCCAUCAGUAGUGUGUUGCUGUUUUAUGCAGCUGAGAUAAAAUCAUCAUAAAAUGUUUCCUUCUCUUUAUUUCAGUUUUGUUCCUCAGUCGUCAGAUCGUUAUGAAGAAACCAAGUUCUUUGGUAAUCUGUUCUGUGCAGCAGCAGAGAGAGAACAGCAGACAGGAGAGAAGAUACUGGAGCUGUUAUCAUCAGUGUGCAGAUAUAAAAAAUUCCCUCUUAGAGAGAAAUGGUGUGAUUUCCAGCUGGACCUUUACUCUUAUUGGUCUGUGAAACAGGCUUGAGUGUCCUUCCAUCAUUACAGUCAGUUCUCCAGUCAGCUCCUGCAGUCUGGUCCAUAAACCUCUCAGAGAGAAAGACCUCCAUCCUCCUGGAAGUGCUGAAACUCCAAUCAGAGAAGAAACAAGUGAAGCUGACAGGCUGCUCACAUGAAGAGAGUGAAGUGAGGAGUUUCCUACAGUGUCUGCCUUAUAUCUCACAGCUCAGUUUUGUUCCUCAGUCAUCAGAUCGUUAUGAAGAAACCAAGUUCUUUGGGAAUCUGUUCUGUGCAGCGGCAGAGAGAGAACAGCAGACAGGAGAGAAGAUACUGGAGCUGUUAUCAUCAGUGUGCAGAUAUAAAACAUUCCCUCUUAAAGAGAAAUGGUGUGAUUUCCUGCUGGACCUUUACUCUUAUGGUUGUGAAACAGGCUUGAGUGUCCUUCCAUCAUUACAGUCAGUUCUCCAGUCAGCUCCUGCAGUCUGGUCCAUAAACCUCUCAGAGAGAAAGACCUCCAUCCUCCUGGAAGUGCUGAAACUCCAAUCAGAGAAGAAACAAGUGAAGCUGACAGGCUGCUCACAUGAAGAGAGUGAAGUGAGGAGUUUCCUACAGUGUCUGCCUUAUAUCUCACAGCUCAGGUAAAUUAAUUGUUCAUCACAUGACUUCAGUUACAUUUGUGGAAUUGUGUUCUUACAUCUACAGCAACUCACUGUUAGUUUGUAAUAUUGAAAAGUAACUCCAUGCCAUCAGGAUGUGUACUCAUAAGUAUAAUCAUAAAAGUACUACUUUACAUAUUCCACUUUACAGCAGCAUCACGUUAUGUGACCUCUCGUUAGUUGAGCAGGUUGGCAGAGGAGAAGCAAUGUCAGCAGUUUAUUUUGGUCAAAGUGGUGUCGGUGCAUCCCUCCCUCUAAGUACAUCAAUGUGUCAGUGUUGGAUUUACUGUACAACUCAUCAGUGGUUCACAUUUUGAGGACUGUAUCAUGAACAUAUUUGGUCCCCAAAUAUAAUUGGUUAUGGAUACUGGAUGGGACACUCAUUCCCUUGCUACCCUGAUUGUAGGAGAGUGAGCAGUGACUGAGCAGGAUGUUUGAACUGUGAAUAAUCCAGAAGAGUCAAUGAGAGGACUUUGAUCAAGUACUUUUGCAAAGAUAAAUUAGGUAACAUCUCUUCAGUUUAAUUUUACAGCAAUUAAAAAAUAAAAC